CAGUUGCUAGAAGACGUUGGCUUUGAUUUCUACUCUGCCUCUUACUAUAGUUGUGUAACCUUAGAGAAGUGCCUUUACUCUUUGAGCUGAUGUCAUGCCCAUCUAUAAAACUGGGGUGAAGAUUCCAAUUUUCCAACAUUCUAAAGCUUUUAAAGGCCAACAGAGAUCAUAUUGCAGAAUGCAGAGCUGGAGGUGGAGAUGGAGAGGGAAGAUUGGCCAGCACCUGCAAAGGCCUUGAAGUGAGAUGGGCAAAGGUGAUAGUGAGUUUAGAUGAAACGGGUAAUCUGGGGUCAAAAUAAUGAAAAUCAGUGUAGUUCACAUUAGGGAUUUUCAUCUUUAUCUUGAGAGCUGUAAGAACACCUUGAACUAUUUUAAAAAUGGCAAAGAGGCUUGAGAUCAUCAGGUUUGUGUUUUGAGAUCAUUCUCGUGAAGAAAAGUUCCAGGGUUCCAUGUGUCCUUUGUAUCUUGGUGGCUCUCACAUCUUUAGCUCUGGCUCACACCUUUAUUCCAAGUUUCAUACAUGUUUAUUCAACUGUCUAUAGGACAACUCUCACGAAUGUUUCCUAAGCACUCAAACCCAGCAUGUAUCAAACUGAACUCUUGAUCUUCCUCCCCAGUCCUGACUCUCCUCCACUGUCCUCUCCACACUGUAUUUCUUUUAAAUGGAAACUGUAGCAGAAACUGCUAGUUGCGUCUUCCUUCUUCUUAGUAAUAGAAUCUUGGGCAAUAUGCCUAGCAAAACACUAUGUUUCUACAUUUCCCAGACUGUCCCACAGCUGGAAGUGACUGACUUCUAGCUGACGAGAUGUAAGUGGAAGCUUUGCUUCCAGGAAAGCUCUUUAAAGGAGCUCCAUUUUGCACUUCCACUUAUUCUCUUUCUUAUACCCUGAAACAUAGGUGUGAUGGCUGGAACUCCUGCAGCCACCUUGGACCCUGAGGAUAGAACAAAUGUGGCAGAGUAGUUAAUAGAUAGAACCAAGUAUUGAAGAGCUUCUAAACAGGCUUGGACUAUCUACCGUCAGAUGACUUUCACCUGAGGAAAAACAAAUUCUUCUUGCUGUUUAAGUCAUUAUAAUUGGAUUUAUUGUUCCUCACAGAUGAAACGAAUCCUAAGUGAUAGGAUUCUGGAAAUUCUCCCCUAAAUCUACUCUUAUACAAAGUUCUGCAUUCUGGCUAUCUCUUCAGUACAUCUCCUUCUUUUAUUCUUGUCUGAGCCACAUCAUCUUUUGCUGGGAUGAUUGUAACAACCUCCUUACUGUCCCUCAGCUUUCAAGCCCCUCCCCACCAAUGCCCAUGCUCAAAGAAUUUCUACCUUUUAGGUAAAAAGACAUUCUAGAACUCAAUUAUGACUCUGCUACUUCUAGGGGAAUCGUGGAAUUAUGGGCACUGAAAAUGUAGAGCUUACAGGGCCCUUAAAGUUCAUUUAAUUUUGAAUUUCUUACUUGUUGGUUUGGCUUGAUUAAAAAAAAAAGCAAAUGGAGUUUUCCUUGGGCCUCUUGUGAUUGUAUAUAAAUUAUUCAAUAUAUAAAAUACAGAAGGCUGUGCACAGUGGCUCACACAUGUAAGCCUAGCACUUUCAGAGGCUGAGGUGGGAGGAUCGCUUGAAGUCAAGAGUUCGAGACCAGCCUGGCCAAUAUGGCAAAAUCCCGUCUCUACUAAAAAUGCAAAAAUUAGCUGGGAGUGGUGGUGGGUGCCUGUAAUCCCAGGUCCUCAGGAAGCUGAGGCAGGAGAAUCACUUGAACCCAGGAGGCGGAGAUUACAGUGAGCUGAGAUUGUGGCACUGCACUCUAGCCUGGUCCACAGAGCGAGACUCUGUCCCAAAAAUAUAUAUCUAUAUCUAUAGAUAUAGAUUAUAUAGAGAAAUGGACCUCUCUGGAGAAGAUGCAGAGUUUUCAGCAGAUUCUCAUAGGCAUUCAACAAAAAUUAAGAAUCUGGCAAGUCUAUCCUCCUCAUUUUAUAGAUGGGGAAACUGAGGCACACAGCAGUUAAGUGACGUGUCCAAGGUCACAAAGAGACUCAGUGGCAGAGCUGGAACACAGACUAGUGCUCUCUUCUCCACAAAAGUGCGGCCAACUGACAGUGAAGGCAGAUGCUGAGACCUCAUAUUUCUCUCGAGGACUGAGUGUCUGUUUUCACUCAGCCUACUCUGGUUGGACUCACACUGAUGAGGACUGGAAUGUAAUUAGUACCAGUGAAUACCAAAAGCCUUAAGAGAGUUAUUAAUUAUAUACAUUUCUGUUUACAGGAGAAUAAUACUGUUAGCUUCAUUAAGCACCAUUAUCUGUGCAUGAUCUAAUAGUUUCAACAUAAUGAAACUGAUACAUUUCAGAGGAAUGGAAGGAAAUAUUACACAUCUGUAAAUUGGAUUAUUCUGAGCUAGGAAGUCUUUGAGGUGGUGAUAAUAAUUGUUCUGAUAAUCCUCACAUCUAAUUGGUACUGUGAUUUACAGUUUACAUAUCUGUGAAGGUUGAAUCAAAUGCUAAUCUGCCAUGUUAGCUUCUGAUUAACCCGUUCUGGGAAGGCCUCUGAGAUUUCCAGUUUAUCUGUUGUUCGUCGUGUAAGAGGACUGUACUUCCUGCAAAUCCUGCCCUCAGGGCAAUUUCCUACCUAUUCUCUGUGAAACAUGUAUGCCUCUCCCCUAGAGUAUAUAAUCUCUGGGUCUGGAGGCUAUUGGUGCCACAGGGAUCCACCAUCUUGUCUUUCCACCACCCAAGACACAGGCAUGGUUUCUGUUCCUAAGCCCCUAUUAAAUAUUUCUUCCUAAGAAACUGGAUUUGUCAGCCUCUUUCUCCAGCUUCUCAGCUUCCUCAGACUUUGGGGUAGGUUUGCAUAGGCCUGCCCAAGGCAAAACAGUAUUAUUUUCACAUACCUUAUUAUCUUAUUUUAUUCUUCCAGAAGUUUGGAGAGGACAGAGAAAACAGUGUACUAGUUAGGAAUAUUUUGGUUGCAAGCAACAGAAAAAUCCAACUUAAAAUACUAAGGAAAAAAGAAAUGGGGAUAGGGGUCAAUGAGAAGAUUGUUGGCUCACAUAACUGAAUUGCCCUGUAAUAUUCUGAUUCAGGAAUGGUUUGAUCGAGGGGUUCAUGCUACCAUUAAGGCUCUGGCUUUGUUCCUGGAUGAUUCUUUCAGCUGCCUUGUUGGCUUCCUCUUCAGGUUGACUCUUCCAUAGUACAAUAUUUCUGGCCUCCUAUUCUCAUAGCCUCACAUCACACUGCACAAAAAGCAGACAGAUGCUUCUGGUAGGUCUUUUGGAAGAUGGAUCACUUGUCUGUCCCAGAAACCUCAGAAAACCUUUUCACAUGUCACAUUAGUGUGAACUAGGUCAGAUGCCCAUCCUUCAACCAAACUACAGUGAACAAGGGAUAGUAGGCACUUAUUGGCUUAAGCCAAUCCAGACCUACUCUAGAGCUGGGGGUGAGAUCAAUCUCGGUGAAAACAACAGAGCUGAAGAUGGUGAGUAGUUACCUAUGGAACCUACAUCAAAUCCUUAAUUAAUGUAGUUACCUACGGAAAACGUAAGUGCGUGGUAGGAAGGGGGGAUAUGAUCUGGGGGAACAACCCAGUAUUCCAUCACACGGUGGUUCAGAAAGGUUAAGAGACAUGUCAAAGUCACACAAAUUAUGACUGGUGGGAUGAAAAUAGAAAAUUCUUGUCUCAAAUCUUCUACCAUAAACAUGAGCCUUCCUUAGAAAACUGAAGGAUUUUCCCACCAUCCUCAUACUUAUCUACCAUCUCUGUUCUUAGAAAAGCACUGGAAAACCCCUGGUAUCAUUCUGAGCCAGGAAAUUCCUGUCCAUGCCUGCUGAAGACACAGAGCCCAAACUCCAGAUAGUAGAGGAAGUGAGACUUGUUGACAUUGUCCUUCAUGCAUAGAAAUUCCCUCCAAGGCCGGGCAUCGUGGCUCACACUUGUAAUCCCAGCACUUUGGGAGGCCAAGGUGGGCAGAUCCCUUGAGCUCAAGAGUUCAGGACCACCCUGGCCAACAUGACAAAAUCCUGUCUCUACAAAAAUUAGCCAGGUGCAGUGGUGUGUGCCUGUAGUCCCAGCUCCUUGGGAGGCUGACGUGGGAGAAUCACUUGAGUUUGGGAGGCAGAGGUUGCAGUGAGCUGAGAUUGCGCCCAUUGCAGCCUGCCUGGGCUGUGGGAGUGAAAACCUGUCUCAAAAAAAAAAAAAAAAAAGAAAGAAAGAAAGAAAGAAAGAAAGAAAGAAAGAAAUUCCCUCUAAUGUUGUCACAGGAAGUAGCUUGACAGAAGCAAGUCUCAGUUAUUUUUUCACAGAUCCACACCCUUCCAAGUCAAGUUGAGAUUUAAAGUAGGCAAGUCCAUUCCUCACAUCACAAAUCAAAUCACCAUGACGAUGACCUCCCCAAUCAUGCUGCUUUCCCCAAGAUUCCAAUUCACUUUAAUAAGAAUCAUCUCCUACCACGAUGCCUGGAACUGGCCAACAGUACCUCUAGCUACCAUGUCCUGAGUUCCUCUGAGCUAUGGGCCAUGUACCAAAGUUCUUCCAACAAUUUAAGCCAGGAAUUGCCCCACUGUUUCCCAGGUGAUGAGAGCCUCUGAGAGGUGAGAUUCCACAUCCCAAGUUGCACAGCUGGGGAGAGACAGUGUCAGGACAGUAUUGCCUGUGCUGAGGUCUAGCUCCCCAGCUAGACAGAAGCUUUAUGAGGAUUUUAUUCAUUUCAAGUCUGGAUCUCCUGGGGCAACCAGAUUGUGCCCUUGAUGUGCGAUUGUUGUCAAAACAAGAGUGAUCAUUUAUUGAGAACUUACCGGGUGUGAAGCCUUGUGCUAAAAGGAUUUUAUGUGCUUCGGGUGAUUUAAUUAUUUUUCCCAGCCACCCCGUGAGGAAUGAAAGCCUUGAUUGAAAGGCUUGUCCAACAAUACAGCUUUAACAGGGCCACCUGCUCAGGACACAGUAAGUAGCGACAGGAAACAUCUGCUUUGGAAACGCCGGUGCUUCUGUUGAUUGAAAUGUACACACAGGAAAGCCGUCUUCCAGUCCGGGGGAAUUUCUGAGCUGAAGAGAUUGUGGUAUUAUUGACCACAUCAAGAAGAGCUGGAAAUGGGAGAACUCUUGGGUGGCAGAGGAGCAGAUCCCAGGCCAGCAGGGGUCCUCUUGGUAAUAAUAACAAUUGCUGAUAAAUAUUGUUUCAUGAAGAA